GAGCCCGGUAUCUCUGAGGAGCGCCGCAUCCGAGGGGCACGAAGUACCUGCUGGAUGUCUGGCAUCCGCGGUAUCCUCCACAUCAAGUGUGUGCUGGUCCAUUACCACGGUCGCUAUAACUUCUUCAAAGCCACAGUUUGAAGACUUCCACCUCACAGACUCAUCAUCCAUGUCACCAGGGAACUGGAAUCCUGACUCAGCUGAAAGUAACUCCACUCAGCCAUCUUUCUCUCCUGCAGAGCCUGAAGCCCACAGCCAAGUAUUGCCUAAGCUGGCAGUGACAAGAACUGGGAGGAAAGCAUCUAGAUCUACAAUAACGCAGAUGACAGAACCCCACCCUCAAAGGUACCCACAGUAUACGGAGCAAAAAGUGUCUCCAUGAUAUUUAUGGGAAGACGGAAUGCAAGAAGGGUGAGAAAAAAGAAAAGGAAGGAACAGGGAUGGCGUAUGACUGUUUUGCCUGCAUGUAUGUGCAUGCACCAACGUGCAGGUCCAGUACCCAGGUCAGAUCUCCUGGAAUUGCAAUUAAGGAUAGUUGUGAGCCACCAUGUGCGUGCAAGGAACAGAACCCAGGUCCUCUGUGAUAGCAACAAAUGCUCUCAGCCACUGAACCAUCUCUCAGAGAGCCCAGGAAGAUUGGCCUGGAAGAUGUGACCCACCUCCCAUGUCUGCAGCUAUGCUCACCAACCUGUGUGAAGAUCUGUGAAGUCCUAGUCUGCCCUGCUCUGUGAUAUGU
rnacentral:lncRNA from 1 species